rnacentral:rRNA from 1 species
UACAGAGGUCCCAAGCGUUGUUCGGAUUCAUUGGGCGUAAAGGGUGCGUAGGCGGCGCGGUAAGUCGGGUGUGAAAUCUCGGGGCUUAACUCGGAACGGUCAAGUGAUACUGUCGGACUAGAGUACAGAAGAGGCGAGUGGAAUUCCUGGUGUAGCGGUGGAAUGCGCAGAUAUCAGGAGGAACACCAAUAGCGAAGGCAGCUCGCUGGGACGUUACUGACACUGAGGCGCGAAAGCGUGGGGAGCGAACAGG